rnacentral:lncRNA from 13 species
UUUUUCUGUGUGUUUUCUAAAUAUAAACACUGAAAAUUUUUUUCACAUGUGUAAGUAGAUAAGAAUGGAUAGAGUUUGUCACUGAAAAUUUCUUCAAUUUUUUUAUCUUCUUCUGAAUAAUAUCCCAAAGAUCAUAGUGUGAUCUUUCAUCAAAAAAUAUUGUUAAUGAUUCAUCAGUUGACAGUUUUAUUAGGUCCUUCUUCAGUGUCUUUGAAAACAAAGCAUAGGCAACCACAUUGCCAAAGGAUUUAUUACCCAGACUCUGGCCCUUCAAUUUCACAUCUCUUCAGUCAUCUUUUGAGUUGUUCCUUGUUUGGAGCCGUGAGGUUUUUCCUGCUGGAACAAUGCACUCUAUGGAAGCUAGCGUGGGUAAGAUGUCCUUAUUUCUUUUGUAGAGAAGUAUGUUUUCUCAAGGAAAAUUAGAAAAAGAAAACUUAUUUCAGGUCCCCCUCAACAUUAAGAGCUGCUGUAAGCAGCUGAGGUUUAGAAAGGAUCUAUAUAUAAGUUGUGGCAAAAAUGUCUGCAUUACCUGAGUGCCUCUUGAAGAUUUAUUUGGCUGCCUAAGUAUAUACAUGUUUAACUUUAGGUCCACGAUUCUAAAUAAAUGUAAAAUAAUCUACUCCUCCUUCAUUAUUAUUAUUAUUAUUAUUAUUAUUAUUAUUAUUAUAAGACACUCUCACUUUGUCACCCAGGCUCAAGAUCUCGGCUCACUGCAACCUCCACCCCCAGUUCUAGAGAUUCUUCUGCCUCAGCCUCCCAAGUAGCUGGGAUUACAGGUGCCUGCCACCAUGCCCAGCUAAUUUUUUCUGUAUUUUUAGUAGAGAUGGGGUUUUGCCAUGUUGGCCAGACUGGUCUCAAACACCUGACCUCACAUGAUACACCCACCAUAGCCUUCCAAAGUGCUAGGAUUACAGGCAUGAGCCACCAUGCUGGGCCUCUCCCUUCACUUUUGUAUUGUUUGUUCUGUCUAGGUGUCUGUCAUCUCUCAUCUAGACCAAGAAUUUUUAAAAUACAUUGUGGAAAUAGAAUUGUGCAGUCCUGUGACUUGAAGGCUGGCUCUCCUGAUGUCUUCAGGGGUUCCUUGCCCUCUGCUCUCUGGUAG